rnacentral:rRNA from 1 species
AUUGAACGCUGGCGGCAUGCCUUACACAUGCAAGUCGAACGGCAGCACGGGUGCUUGCACCUGGUGGCGAGUGGCGAACGGGUGAGUAAUACAUCGGAACAUGUCCUGUAGUGGGGGAUAGCCCGGCGAAAGCCGGAUUAAUACCGCAUACGAUCUACGGAUGAAAGCGGGGGACCUUCGGGCCUCGCGCUAUAGGGUUGGCCGCUGGCUGAUUAGCUAGUUGGUGGGGUAAAGGCCUACCAAGGCGACGAUCAGUAGCUGGUCUGAGAGGACGACCAGCCACACUGGGACUGAGACACGGCCGAGACUCCUACGGGAGGCAGCAGUGGGGAAUUUUGGACAAUGGGCGAAAGCCUGAUCCAGCAAUGCCGCGUGUGUGAAGAAGGCCUUCGGGUUGUAAAGCACUUUUGUCCGGAAAGAAAUCCUUGGCCCUAAUACGGUCGGGGGAUGACGGUACCGGAAGAAUAAGCACCGGCUAACUACGUG